GAGCCUCUCCCCGAUUCUCUCUUCCUCUCCGACCUCUUCACCUUCUUCCGGCCAUAACUCCUCCAUCCGGCGACGGAUUUUGAAGUGUAAGAUGUCGUUGGAAAGCUCUCUUCCUUCUCUUCAUUUCUGGGUUCGUUUCGUAGCUUAAUAUGAACUGUGGAAGGUGCAGCAACGAGAAGAAGAGGACGGUCACUGUAGCAGUUUUGAGUCAACGCCGAUAUUUUCCGAUUCCGGCAGUCUCCGGCCACCAAAUUGGCGUCGAAGGGUUCUUGGAAUUUCUGGAAAAUUUUCACCGGCCAAAUUGGAGCUCUUCCAGGGCAAUGCCGCGAGCUACGGUUAAAUGAAGGAACUCGUUUGCGUGGUAGCCCAAUAGUACUUUUGCAGGCGAAAUUAGUUGAGGUCGGGCGUACAUGGAGUCGAGGCAUAGCCAACAGCAUUGCUUCCGCGUACUCAUUCUAUUUCUGUUUUCUUUGUUACCUAGUGGAUUAGUAUUGCUCUGAUAACCUAUGGGAUUAAUAUUGUUUUUGGGUUGAGACUGAUAUUUGUGAAAUUGGAGUUGUGAUUUGGGGAGCAGAUGGCUCCAGAAGAUUAAGGAUGGAUGAUUUAGAAGUGUAAAUGUUUUCCUACAGGUUUUGGGUAGGCUACUUUUAGGGGAAGUUCCGCCAAAUUUUUGGUAGAAUCUCUUCUAAAGUGGGCCCCGCAGGGCCACUUCGGAUUUCAGGGUGAAAUCUGGGGCGG